GGUCAAGUGAAGAAGCGCAUACGGUGGAUGCCUUGGCAGUCAGAGGCGAUGAAAGACGUGGUAGCCUGCGAAAAGCUUCGGGGAGUCGGCAAACAGACUUUGAUCCGGAGAUGUCUGAAUGGGGGAACCCAGCCAUCAUAAGAUGGUUAUCUUGUACUGAAUACAUAGGUGCAAGAGGCGAACCAGGGGAACUGAAACAUCUAAGUACCCUGAGGAAAAGAAAUCAACCGAGAUUCCCUUAGUAGUGGCGAGCGAACGGGGACUAGCCCUUAAGUGGCUUUGAGAUUAGCGGAACGCUCUGGAAAGUGCGGCCAUAGUGGGUGAUAGCCCUGUACGCGAAAAUCUCUUAGUCAUGAAAUCGAGUAGGACGGAGCACGAGAAACUUUGUCUGAAUAUGGGGGGACCAUCCUCCAAGGCUAAAUACUACUGACUGACCGAUAGUGAACUAGUACCGUGAGGGAAAGGCGAAAAGAACCCCGGAGAGGGGAGUGAAAUAGAUCCUGAAACCGUAUGCGUACAAGCAGUGGGAGCCACUUGUUAGGUGACUGCGUACCUUUUGUAUAAUGGGUCAGCGACUUAUUUUCAGUGGCGAGCUUAACCGAAUAGGGGAGGCGUAGCGAAAGCGAGUCUUAAUAGGGCGUCUAGUCGCUGGGAAUAGACCCGAAACCGGGCGAUCUAUCCAUGGGCAGGUUGAAGGUUGGGUAACACUAACUGGAGGACCGAACCGACUACCGUUGAAAAGUUAGCGGAUGACCUGUGGAUCGGAGUGAAAGGCUAAUCAAGCUCGGAGAUAGCUGGUUCUCCUCGAAAGCUAUUUAGGUAGCGCCUCAUGUAUCACUGUAGGGGGUAGAGCACUGUUUCGGCUAGGGGGUCAUCCCGACUUACCAAACCGAUGCAAACUCCGAAUACCUACAAGUGCCGAGCAUGGGAGACACACGGCGGGUGCUAACGUCCGUCGUGAAAAGGGAAACAACCCAGACCGUCAGCUAAGGUCCCAAAGUUAUGGUUAAGUGGGAAACGAUGUGGGAAGGCUUAGACAGCUAGGAGGUUGGCUUAGAAGCAGCCACCCUUUAAAGAAAGCGUAAUAGCUCACUAGUCGAGUCGGCCUGCGCGGAAGAUGUAACGGGGCUCAAACCAUACACCGAAGCUACGGGUAUCACGUAAGUGAUGCGGUAGAGGAGCGUUCUGUAAGCCUGUGAAGGUGAGUUGAGAAGCUUGCUGGAGGUAUCAGAAGUGCGAAUGCUGACAUGAGUAACGACAAUGGGUGUGAAAAAACCCACGCCCAAGGACCAAGAACCAAGGUUUCCUGCGCAACGUUAAUCGACGCAGGGUUAGUCGGUCCCUAAGGCGAGGCUGAAAAGCGUAGUCGAUGGAAAACAGGUUAAUAUUCCUGUACUUCUGGUUAUUGCGAUGGAGGGACGGAGAAGGCUAGGCCAGCUUGGCGUUGGUUGUCCAAGUUUAAGGUGGUAGGCUGAGAUCUUAGGUAAAUCCGGGAUCUUAAGGCCGAGAGCUGAUGACGAGCUAACUUUUAGUUAGCGAAGUGGUUGAUGCCAUGCUUCCAAGAAAAGCUUCUAAGCUUCAGGUAACCAGGAACCGUACCCCAAACCGACACAGGUGGUUGGGUAGAGAAUACCAAGGCGCUUGAGAGAACUCGGGUGAAGGAACUAGGCAAAAUGGCACCGUAACUUCGGGAGAAGGUGCGCCGGUGAGGGUGAAGGACUUGCUCCGUAAGCUCAUGCCGGUCGAAGAUACCAGGCCGCUGCGACUGUUUAUUAAAAACACAGCACUCUGCAAACACGAAAGUGGACGUAUAGGGUGUGACGCCUGCCCGGUGCCGGAAGGUUAAUUGAUGGGGUUAGCUAACGCGAAGCUCUUGAUCGAAGCCCCGGUAAACGGCGGCCGUAACUAUAACGGUCCUAAGGUAGCGAAAUUCCUUGUCGGGUAAGUUCCGACCUGCACGAAUGGCGUAACGAUGGCGGCGCUGUCUCCACCCGAGACUCAGUGAAAUUGAAAUCGCUGUGAAGAUGCAGUGUAUCCGCGGCUAGACGGAAAGACCCCGUGAACCUUUACUAUAGCUUUGCACUGGACUUUGAAUUUGCUUGUGUAGGAUAGGUGGGAGGCUUUGAAGCGUGGACGCCAGUUCGCGUGGAGCCAUCCUUGAAAUACCACCCUGGCAACUUUGAGGUUCUAACUCAGGUCCGUUAUCCGGAUCGAGGACAGUGUAUGGUGGGUAGUUUGACUGGGGCGGUCUCCUCCUAAAGAGUAACGGAGGAGUACGAAGGUGCGCUCAGACCGGUCGGAAAUCGGUCGUAGAGUAUAAAGGCAAAAGCGCGCUUGACUGCGAGACAGACACGUCGAGCAGGUACGAAAGUAGGUCUUAGUGAUCCGGUGGUUCUGUAUGGAAGGGCCAUCGCUCAACGGAUAAAAGGUACUCCGGGGAUAACAGGCUGAUACCGCCCAAGAGUUCAUAUCGACGGCGGUGUUUGGCACCUCGAUGUCGGCUCAUCACAUCCUGGGGCUGAAGCCGGUCCCAAGGGUAUGGCUGUUCGCCAUUUAAAGUGGUACGCGAGCUGGGUUUAGAACGUCGUGAGACAGUUCGGUCCCUAUCUGCCGUGGACGUUUGAGAUUUGAGAGGGGCUGCUCCUAGUACGAGAGGACCGGAGUGGACGAACCUCUGGUGUUCCGGUUGUCACGCCAGUGGCAUUGCCGGGUAGCUAUGUUCGGAAUAGAUAACCGCUGAAAGCAUCUAAGCGGGAAACUAGCCUCAAGAUGAGAUCUCACUGGAACCUUGAGUUCCCUGAAGGGCCGUCGAAGACUACGACGUUGAUAGGUUGGGUGUAAGCGCUGUGAGGCGUUGAGCUAACCAAUACUAAUUGCCCGUGAGGCUUGACCAU
rnacentral:rRNA from 1 species